rnacentral:tRNA from 1 species
GGCGGUGAUGGCCUCCACGGUGGUGGGCCCGCUCGUGGAGCGGGUGAUGUCGGCGUCGGAGAGGAUGCCCUCGCGGAUCUUCUUCGCGUUGGCGUCGC